GCAAAGGGAUUCAACAAAACAGACCAUAAAAUUACAUAGUAUCGACUAAAAGUCCGUUUCCAAAAGACCUCUGGUUUCCGCAAUCAAGAUUGUCACCAGGACUAACACCAAGAAUACUGCAAUACCUCCUGUAAAACCCAAUGCGAUCCUGGACCCUUGAGUCAGUGCCACGACCACAUUCCAAGCCACCAUUGAUGAUGUUCGUGAUGACACCAAAUCCAGGGAGACGAUUGGCUGCGCGGUCAGCAGACGAUGGUUGCCAUCUUCCAAUGAUGACAUCGUGGCAAGAAGGUUUUGGUGAUUGAGGAGUCAUCCAAAACCAGAGAGCUGACUUGAAUGAGAUUACUGGAUCUGUGGCCACUAAAUCAGGAUUGUUUAGGAGGUCCACUCCUAUGGCUCUUCCACAAGGUCCGUAGUUGUAGUUGCUGUAUUUAUGUAAAAAGUACACGUAAUUAGCAGGUGCAGAGCUAGAGAUUGAAUUGUGAAGCUAAUAACUAAGAUGAGUUAUGAUUUCGAUGGCAAGUUCUGAACCAUUUUAGCUAUUUUAGCGUAGGGCAAUGACUAUAUGCUAAAAUUAUGGUAAGAGGGAGUUGCUUACUGUGAAAUUUGGAUGGGGCCUCGUCCGAAAUAUUUCCGACCAGGAGCACAAGGCCACUGACCACUUGGUGUACAGUAGUCGCCGGGGCUACCUUGUUCUCUAAGCCAGCAGUAACCCCACGCGUAUGGACCAUCUGGUGCUGUUGCCCAUCCUCCUGUCAACAGUUACAUGUUCAAUUAUUGAAUGCAUCAACUUAUGAAAAACUUCGAAAUUUAAGAAGCAUUGUGAUAUCUCAAAAUUAGAUACUAUGGUGAUGAGCGAUAGAGGUCCUGAAUUCAAGUCUCCGCGCCAGGAAUCAUAAAAGAAAUUACUAUGUGUUUGUCUCAUGAAAUUAGAAUUGACCAGUAUAAUUAAAUAAAAAUAUGCUCUCUAAUAGAUUAAACUUUUGAACUAGACGGUCAUACAGUUCAACAUAACUAGGCAUACCUGUAGUUUCAUGGGAGGUUUGGGCGAAGAAAGCCGCGAUUUCUCUUUUACGGG
rnacentral:lncRNA from 1 species